UAGGGAAUCUUCCACAAUGGACGAAAGUCUGGUGGAGCAACGCCGCGUGAGUGAAGAAGGGUUUCGGCUCGUAAAGCUCUGUUGGUAGUGAAGAAAGAUAGAGGUAGUAACUGGCCUUUAUUUGACGGUAAUUACUUAGAAAGUCACGGCUAACUACGUGCC
rnacentral:rRNA from 1 species